UACGGAGGGGGCUAGCGUUGUUCGGAAUUACUGGGCGUAAAGCGCACGUAGGCGGCUUUGCAAGUUAGAGGUGAAAGCCCGGGGCUCAACUCCGGAAUUGCCUUUAAAACUGCAUCGCUAGAAUUGUGGAGAGGUAAGUGGAAUUCCGAGUGUAGAGGUGAAAUUCGUAGAUAUUCGGCGGAACGCCAGUGGCGAAGGCUACUCACUGGCCCGAUACUGACGCUGAGGCGCGAAAGCGUGGGGAGCAAACAGG
rnacentral:rRNA from 1 species